rnacentral:tRNA from 1 species
GGGUGCUUAGCUCAGUUGGUAGAGCAUCGCCCUUACAAGGCGAGGGUCGUAGGUUCGAACCCUGCAGCACCCACCA